CAGCCGCCGCGGUAAUACGUAGGGUGCGAGCGCUAAUCGGAAUUACUGGGCGUAAAGCGUGCGCAGGCGGUUAUAUAAGACAGAUGUGAAAUCCCCGGGCUCAACCUGGGACCUGCAUUUGUGACUGUAUAGCUAGAGUACGGUAGAGGGGGAUGGAAUUCCGCGUGUAGCAGUGAAAUGCGUAGGUAUGCGGAGGAACACCGAUGGCGAAGGCAAUCCCCUGGACCUGUACUGACGCUCAUGCACGAAAGCGUGGGGAGCAAACAGGAUUAGAUACCCCUGUAGUCCCUGUCUCUUAUAC
rnacentral:rRNA from 1 species